UACGUAGGGUGCAAGCGUUAAUCGGAAUUACUGGGCGUAAAGCGUGCGCAGGCGGUUGUGUAAGUUUGUCGUGAAAUCCCCGGGCUCAACCUGGGAAUUGCGAUGAAGACUGCACGGCUAGAGUGUGUCAGAGGGGGGUAGAAUUCCACGUGUAGCAGUGAAAUGCGUAGAUAUGCGGAGGAACACCGAUGGCGAAGGCAAUCCCCUGGGCCUGCACUGACGCUCAUGCACGAAAGCGUGGGGAGCAAACAGG
rnacentral:rRNA from 1 species